rnacentral:rRNA from 1 species
AUGAAGCCUUUCGGGGUGGAUUAGUGGCGAACGGGUGAGUAACACGUGGGCAAUCUGCCCUGCACUCUGGGACAAGCCCUGGAAACGGGGUCUAAUACCGGAUACGACACAUCACUGCAUGGUGAAUGUGUGGAAAGCUCCGGCGGUGCAGGAUGAGCCCGCGGCCUAUCAGCUUGUUGGUGGGGUAAUGGCCUACCAAGGCGACGACGGGUAGCCGGCCUGAGAGGGCGACCGGCCACACUGGGACUGAGACACGGCCCAGACUCCUACGGGAGGCAGCAGUGGGGAAUAUUGCACAAUGGGCGAAAGCCUGAUGCAGCGACGCCGCGUGAGGGAUGACGGCCUUCGGGUUGUAAACCUCUUUCAGCAGGGAAGAAGCGCAAGUGACGGUACCUGCAGAAGAAGCACCGGCUAACUACGUGCCAGCAGCCGCGGUAAUACGUAGGGUGCGAGCGUUGUCCGGAAUUAUUGGGCGUAAAGAGCUCGUAGGCGGCUUGUCACGUCGGAUGUGAAAGCCCGGGGCUUAACCCCGGGUCUGCAUUCGAUACGGGCAGGCUAGAGUUCGGUAGGGGAGAUCGGAAUUCCUGGUGUAGCGGUGAAAUGCGCAGAUAUCAGGAGGAACACCGGUGGCGAAGGCGGAUCUCUGGGCCGAUACUGACGCUGAGGAGCGAAAGCGUGGGGAGCGAACAGGAUUAGAUAC